CAGAACUUUUCCUGCACUACUGAGCCUCAUCAUCCCUCUGGUUUCAUUGAUUUUGGUUGCUAUUGUGGCGUUAUUAGUACUGUUUAGAACCAAAUGUUCCAAAAUUCAAGAUUCAAGUGGCAGCUCCAACUUGGCUGAAAGGACGACAAUGUGACACACAGUCAUCACAAGCAAAAUGUUUAAAUCAAUCGGUUUUUACAUUUUUUUC